UGCUGCCUCUGUGGCUCUGUCAGGAGAAGGCGACCCAGGAGGCCAGCACCGGAACUGCUGACUUCCAGAGCACAGUGCUGUGUUUGCGACGCAAGGGUUGGGCAGCCGCGGCCACACCACCCCAGCUGCCUGCCAGCACCCACACAGCCGGUGAAUUAACAAGGGUGGACCCAAUUGUCGGCUGGGGCCUGGGGCCCAGAAGGUCCUGAAGAAGGGUGACAAGGGGCCCUUCAACGUGGAGGCACUGGAUGAAAUCAGAAUGAGACGCAGGGUCAAGAUGGAAAAGCAGAAUAUUCAACAUCAAGAGUGAACUGUGAUGUAAACUGAGGACUUCAGGUGACCACGAUGACAAGGGAAAUGGAUGGAAUGCAUUGAGGUUGCAAAGUUCUCAGAAGUGCAAGAGACA